UCCCGACCCGCAGCCCCUGCUAGCCCAGCCCUGCCCCCCCCCAGCUCUGCCGGUGCCCCUCACUCCCGACCUGGAAUCCCUGCUAGCCCAGCCCCGAGUCCCGCCCGGCCCCGGCUCUCCGGGUUCACGGCAGGUCUUGACGCCGGUUUCCCAGAAUGAGGUUUAUUCUUAGCUCCCAGCGAGAUAAACAAUUCGGGGCGACGUAUUCCCGGAGCCGCCCCCUCCCCUUCCCACAAUCCCCUGACCCCCCCCCAGACAUCAGCGGUGACCUCACAAGGGCUCUGCCCUGGCACCACUGCCCCCCCCCACUGGUGAGCCUCUCUCUGCCCCCCAGCACUGCCCCCAAUGCUACUUUCCUGCUCCCCCCAGCCCCAAGGACCCCCCUUACACCCUCCAGCCUGGCAGCCCCCCAGAGGGCAUGUCUGCAGCCAGGCCGCCCCUCGCCACCCUCCUCCUAGUGGCCCUGAAUGUGGGGCUCUACCUUCGCCCCCUGGGGUCCCCCGAAAACACCUGCCUCAGCGUGCAGGGGGUCUGGGCUCUGGGCGAGUGGCAGCGCCUCCUGCUAGCUCCCUUCCACCACCUGGGCUGGGGCCACCUGGGGCUGAACAUGGGGGCAUUGCUGUGGCUGGGGGCAGGGCUGGAGGGGAGGGUGGGCAGCGCCCGAGCGGGCUGGAUCCUGGGGGGCAUGACGCUGCUGGGGGGGCUGGUCCAUCUCGGGCUGAACGCGGGGCUGGCGGCCGUCCUGCGAGAUCCCUGGCGCCGGGAACACUGCGCCGUGGGCUUCUCAGGGGUCAUCUUCUCUCUGGAAGCCAUGGAGGGUCUCCUAGCGCCUGUCACCAUAGUAACCCUGGGCAGCGUCACCAUAACCACCAAAUGGCUCUGCCUGGCAGAGUGCUUCACCGUGACCCUCCUGUACCCCAGCAGCUCCUUGACAGGCCACCUGUCUGGAAUGCUGGUGGGCGUGGCUCUGGCGGCCACGCCCCUCGGCUUGGCCACGCCCCUCUCCAUUCACUUAUGAUGGGACCACGACUACAAUGGCAGAACCGUCCCCACCCCACCGCCAGGGGGCGCCUGAAUCCAAACCCACCCGUGAGUGACAGCACCGCUGGGAGCCCUGUUGGGGCAGGAGGCCCAGCCAGAGCCGUCGGAGCUGCCAGCCCCCCAGCCCAGCCCCACGGCACCUGUUUGGUUCCCAGACCUGUUUUGUCAACCUGGGUCUGGUGCUGUUUGUAGGUAAACACGCCCGGCCUGCGACUGAGAGCCCCUCUGUUUCCACUGCACACAGCGGGUGCCUGCCCCACCCCAGGGCGGGGACUGGCUGGCUCAGGGGGGCAGGGGCCUGUCCCCUCUAGGGGGCUCCGGCUCCCACCCAGCCCCAGGGCGGGGACUGGCUGGC